rnacentral:sRNA from 1 species
CGCAUUAUCCGCUGGGCGUCGAAGCGACCUGAUCGGCU